rnacentral:rRNA from 1 species
AGUGAACGCUGGCGGUAGGCCUAACACAUGUAAGUCGAACGGCAGCACAGGAGAGCUUGCUCUCUGGGUGGCGAGUGGCGGACGGGUGAGGAAUACAUCGGAAUCUACCUUUUCGUGGGGGAUAACGUAGGGAAACUUACGCUAAUACCGCAUACGACCUACGGGUGAAAGUGGGGGACCGCAAGGCCUCACGCGAUUAGAUGAGCCGAUGUCCGAUUAGCUAGUUGGCGGGGUAAUGGCCCACCAAGGCGACGAUCGGUAGCUGGUCUGAGGGGAUGAUCAGCCACACUGGAACUGAGAACCGGUCCAGACUCCGACGGGAGGCAGCAGUGGGGAAGAUUGGACAAUGGGCGCAAGCCUGAUCCAGCCAUACCGCGUGGGUGAAGAAGGCCUUCGGGUUGUAAAGCCCUUUUGUUGGGAAAGAAAUCCUGUCGAUUAAUACUCGGUGGGGAUGACGGUACCCAAAGAAUAAGCACCGGCUAACUUCGUGCCAGCAGCCGCCGUAAUAC